rnacentral:lncRNA from 1 species
CGAAUAUAACACAGAUGGCCUGUUUUCAAUACCACCUGUCACUCCUGUUACUCGGCAGUACAUACCAGGUGCCACACCACUGCUCGGCAGGUGACACUGGAUUGAUCCCCAGGAGUAGAUGAUGUUCAGAAACUCCACCUACAUUUGGGACAGUCCCACUGGGUCAGCUAUGGCUGCAACAAGCCCUGAGGCCUGACUUGAAGCCAUCAGUGGGACCGGUAAGUGUCUGCCCCUCAGGACUUAAACUUGGUUUCUUUUGGGCUUGGAACAAGGAUGGGGUUUUCCCAGGGCACAAGGAGUCCAGAAGU